AGGGCACCACCAGGAGUGGAGCCUGCGGCUUAAUUUGACUCAACACGGGAAACCUCACCCGGCCCGGACACGGACAGGAUUGACAGAUCGAUAGCUCUUUCUCGAUUCCGUGGGUGGUGGUGCAUGGCCGUUCUUAGUUGGUGGAGCGAUUUGUCUGGUUAAUUCCGAUAACGAACGAGACUCUGGCAUGCUAACUAGUUACGCGACCCCCCGAGCGGUCGGCGUCCCCCAACUUCUUAGAGGGACAAGUGGCGUUCAGCCACCCGAGAUUGAGCAAUAACAGGUCUGUGAUGCCCUUAGAUGUCCGGGGCUGCACGCGCGCUACACUGACUGGCUCAGCGUGUGCCUACCCUACGCCGGCAGGCGCGGGUAACCCGUUGAACCCCAUUCGUGAUGGGGAUCGGGGAUUGCAAUUAUUCCCCAUGAACGAGGAAUUCCCAGUAAGUGCGGGUCAUAAGCUUGCGUUGAUUAAGUCCCUGCCCUUUGUGCACACCGCCCGUCGCUACUACCGAUUGGAUG
rnacentral:rRNA from 1 species